rnacentral:tRNA from 2 species
GGGGCUGUAGCGCAGCUGGGAGCGCGCCUGCAUGGCAUGCAGGAGGUCCGGGGUUCGAUCCCCCGCAGCUCCA